rnacentral:snRNA from 10 species
AAGAAUUACAGCUCUUUCAGAAUUUGUUUAGCGGGUUUUCUGGUUUUCACACGAAAAUAAAA